GAAACAUUGGAUCACAGUAACAUUCUUCCGUAAUGCCAUAGGUGGGGUGAAAAGUUUCAAUUGGGUAAAACGUGGGGUUGUGAGGUUAAUGAAAUAACCAAGGUGAAAUUCAGAGGGUGGGAAGCAGUCAUCAGUUGGCGUUAGACUGGAAUUCAUGUUAUUAUUUGGUUUCUCUAUACUCUCAUUAAGGUCUGGAACAAAUCAAGAAUGUCAGCUGCCACUUCGAUUCUACAACAUUGUUCUCUGGGGCUUAGCAAAUGAGACAGGAACACUGAGAAUGGAAAUGAGAGAACAUAUUACAAGCCGCCUGGUACAUAGUUGUGUAUUUUUAGUUGUGGAUCCCUCUAGUUGUGGCAUGUGGGAUGCCGCCUCAGCAUGGCCUGAUGAGUGGUGCCAUGUCCACGCCCAGGAUUCGAACCGGUGAAACCCUGGGCUGCUGAAGCAGAAUGCACGAACUUAACUGCUCAGCCACGGGACCAGCCUGGGCCCCACGGUUUUCUGAUGCUGACCUCUUCUUGAUGCAGUCCUCAAGAAGUUCUGCUUGAUUCAUAUGUCUCAACAGCAAAAAAACUAACAACCCAAUUAAAAAAUGUGCAAAAGAUCUGAAGAGACAUUUCUCCAAAGAAGAUACACAGAUGGCCAACAGGUACAUGAAAAGAUGUUCAACAUCACUAACUGGGAAAAGAAAAUCAAAAC
rnacentral:lncRNA from 1 species